rnacentral:rRNA from 1 species
GUAGGUGGCAAGCGUUAUCCGGAAUUAUUGGGCGUAAAGCGCGCGCAGGCGGUUCUUUAAGUCUGAUGUGAAAGCCCACGGCUCAACCGUGGAGGGUCAUUGGAAACUGGAGAACUUGAGUACAGAAGAGGAAAGCGGAAUUCCACGUGUAGCGGUGAAAUGCGUAGAGAUGUGGAGGAACACCAGUGGCGAAGGCGGCUUUCUGGUCUGUAACUGACGCUGAGGCGCGAAAGCGUGGGGAGCAAACAGGGAUUAGAUACCCUGGUAGUCCACGCCGUAAACGAUGAGUGCUAAGUGUUAGGGGGUUUCCGCCCCCUUAGUGCUGCAGCUAACGCAUUAAGCACUCCGCCUGGGGAGUACGGCCGCAAGGCUG